rnacentral:lncRNA from 1 species
GACACAAUCCCCUUCAAACCCUAAAUCAUUUCCUUGCUGCCCAGCUGCCAUUCUUUCCCCUUUCUCUAUCAUUUCUCUCAAACCCAUCACCCUAAUCAGUCAAGAGAACCUUGCACAAAAUCGUGCAAGGUUUUAAAUCACCCAGAAAUUAUCCUCUUUGUCUUCAUUACCCACGAUCCUCGCUGAAUUUUGCCCAUUUCGUCUGAGAGAUUCAAACACCCAAAUAUGAAAACCCUAGCAUAUGAAUGAAACAUCAAAUCUUCAGAUUUCUAUUAUGUUAUUGUAAAUCGAAGCAUGCAUGAAGCUUCUUCAGAGUCUCAUGAUGAAUAUUCUAUACCCAGAGGUCAAACACAGUGACCUCUGGGUCUCCGAGCUUUGUCCGCUGAUAUUUGCUUCCAACGGUCAGCCUUUCCCCGCUUCAGGUAAAAAUCACUACUAAUUUCCCUCUGUAUCUUCUGAUUUCACCCACUUUGCUAGCAUCAUCAACUCUCCGUCAUCUUCCGCUAUCUAGUUGGAAUCUUUGAACCUAAGCCAUUGAAUGGCACUAUAAAUAGAGUCUUGAAUGCUCUCACCAACCAGACCUAACAUGAGCCUGAAAUCUCAUACGAAUAUAAAACAAAUCAUUUUUAGAAGCCUAAGUACUCUUUGAUUAAUCUCUCUCUCUCUCUCUCUCUCUCUCUCUCUCUCUCUCUCUCUCUUGUUUUUUCGAGUUCUUUUACUGCUCAAGCUUGAUGUUUUGGAUCCUACGCAACUAAAUUGAACCUCUAUUUUGUUUGUUGCCCUAGAAAAGGUCAGUAUACCUCCACCCUUUCUCUUUUUCUAUUGUCUUGUUCGAAAAUCACGGAUAUGCUACUAUCUUUCAAUUAACUAUUUUCGUUUAUGAUAUUUGUCAUUAGUGUAUAGAUGUUUAUUCUAGUUCAUAAUAAGGUGUUGUUAAUUUAUGGUCAUAUAUUAUGCUUUUGAGUAUCUUUAAUCAGUAGUGAUUGAGAUUUUAGGUGACCUUAAGGACUUCCAUUUUGAAUCAAAUAGCUUACACGAUUAAGUUCCUUAAUAUGGCUUAAUUACGUCUCAUAUUUGCCUAGACUUCAGAUUUUCUUUAAUAUUGUGUUGUGAUCUUUAUAUCUACAACACUAUUUUCCUUAUUCUGUUGUUCUGUAUUUGGGGUUGCUGUUUGAUAACUCUAACUAGAAAAUACAUGAAGGUUCAUGGUUUAAUCCUUCAUCACUCAGUGGAAAUAUGUGAAGUCUAAGUGUUCAAAUUGCUUUCUUCCGUUAUAUAAGUGUUUGUUGACCCUUAAGUAACCUCUGAGUCAUUAUUAUGAGAGUCUUAUAUAUGUGUUUUACUUCUAAUUACAUCUACAUGUUUCUUUAUAUGGAACAGUCUCAUUAAGGUAACUAGGUCAAUUCUUAUAAACACCCGAAAGUAUUUUGCAUGUGUUCUGUUAUGAUUAGAUUAUUUCUCAUGAAUCAGGUUAUAGUCAUGUCUACUGUAGUUGAGUUUUAACUAUUUUAUAAGUUAGGUAUAACUCCAUCAUAUUUAGAUGUUAAUCUUUAGUUUAUGCAGAUAAAUUAAGUCUGCUUAGUAUAAGAUCUCCCAUGUCUUUACCCCCCCCUAAUGACAUUGUUGACUUGAUUUUAUAAUGGUUGAAACUCAUCCUAUUUUGUAAAAUCAUAACCUUAAUUGAAAUAUCUAUGUGUAUAGUUGAAUGAAAGUUCUACAUGCAUUCCUAUCCGUCCUUCAUGAUAUUAUGCUUUUGUGCACUAUCUUGAAACUGCACCCAGUUCUCUCUUUCCAUUUAAUCUAAAUUUAACCUAAUCUGUGAACCCUAAUAGAAACUUCUUAUUGCUAAUGCUUGGAUACAAUAGUUUUUCUAUUUCAUAAUGAGAUUAACACUCUUAUAAAGAAGUGUUUCUGUCAUCAGUUUCAAAGUUAAGUAAGACUGGUAGUCUGAGAUCCUGUUAAGCAUUCAUAGGAGUUCCAUUUGAAUCUGUAAACCUGUAGUCAUGUUAAACGCUUUGAUUAUAUUCUUGUAUCUCUAAUAGCACCUGCAGAGGUUCUGACUAUGACUGUUUGUCUGAACCUUUGUUGAUACUUUCAAAAGUUUUUAGUAGUAUUAUUAACCUGUGUGUGCUAGACUUUAGUUAAGCCAAUUUGUUACUGGUCUGUUAGGGAAAAGGCAUCUGUAUUUAUAAAUUGUUGCCGAUCUGAAUUGUGUACUCUUUAUCUAUCCUUAAGGUAUUUUAUCUCAAGUGUUUUUUUCUUUAACAGUAGUAUGCUAAUACCACUGCCGCUAUGUGUGUUUGAAGCGUAUCUCUUUGGACGUGUUUAAUAUGUUGACCAUCCAUUUAGUUUAGAAAUAUGGUUGUGAUAAUACAAAUAAGUUGUCUUGUAGCCUUAAAAGUAUUCUGUUUGGCCCUCUUGAAAGAGGCAUACACUUAUAUGGUGUGGUAUUGCUAUGGUAAUUGGUUUACAUUGAAAGACCCUCAUUGGCACUUAAACCUAUAUGGAAAAAUGAGUCGUUAGUGGUUAGGGGUAUUUGGGAGUAGAUUUUAACUCUUAGUUGGGCUACUCUCCCCGAAACAAGAAUUGCCCUUGUCCUUGAGACCCUUGGGAACUUUGAUGUGUCGGAUAAUUAAAAAGGGGGCUUUGACCUUGAGUGGAACUGUACCCUUAGCCUUUAAUUUAUUGACACUCAUUAUUCUCUUUGGAUUUAGUGUUUAGUGACAACGAAAGGUUUUCAAUGUAAAAUAUUUACCACACAUAACCGCCACAUUAGUAUAACCUCUCAUAAUAUUUAAGUAUUGUUAGUUUGUUAUAUUUUGUUAAAUUCAUUUGAUCAUGUAUUUAAUGCAUGGCCGAAUAUACAGAAUGUGUGUCGAAUGACUUUCUCUUUUCUUUUGAACAUGUAUAAUAUUUUAGGCCUAUUGAGUUCUUAAGGAACUCAGGCCCAAAUCCAGCAUUGUUGUAUUCUGGAAGUUCAAAGUCCAUUGUUGCCCGUUAUUGCUAUUGAUGGUCAUGUCUCUUUGAAGCCCAAAAAAACCACAGUCCAAUCCUCUCCUUUUACUCCUUUAUUGUUACUGCUUCACUACCUUAGAUUUACUUCCUCAUUACUUUGUUGCAUUCUUGUUGUUUUAUCUCACACAUAUAUGCAACAAUUAUCCUAUUGGAUUGAAUGCUUUACUUUAUAUCUUAAACCAUGUAAAACAACUUAGGUAAGCCUUAAAGAAUGUAGAAUUAAAAAAAAAUUUGGUUAGUGGCUAAUCCUCCAUUCGCUAAUCGUGCUAUUCACAUUACUAGUUUGCUAUGUUUUUUUCUAACUUUUCUUGAUGAUUUUAAAACCCCAAAAUCGCUUAGCAAGAGACGAAAGUCCUUCUUUUAAGAAAAAAGUCAGAAUUGAGUCGCAAGUUUGACCUUCUAAAUAGAAAAUCAACUCUUUUCGAAAUACCAAGUUGCUGCCGCUCAAACACAUAUUUUCAAACGAUCUCUCCAAGUCUUAUAUUUAAGAAACCAAGUUAUAUGUUAGGCUUACUUUUAUAACUUCUUCAUCUUAUUAUAGUAACAUGAACAUCCAGUCCUAAAAGACAAAGUGUUUUAUAACUUAACUCUUCUUUCACAUAUUUUCCUAAAUACAAACAUCUUACACAUUUUUCAAAGCUCUUCCAAGCACAUAUAUGCCAAUAUUAUUUUCUAAGACUUCUUUAAGCUCAAAUCCUUUUAAUCUACACACCUUCUUUGUAAGUGAUAUGACCUAAUAUGUGGUAAGCCGUAUCACUUUAUACAAUAAUUAAGCAUAAUACAAAUACUUAGUCCUAAAUCUAUUUUAAGUCCUAUGGAGCUACCUCAGGUAAAUUUUAAGGGGUGCCUAACACCUUCCCCUUAGAAGAACAAGAACCCUUACCCAUAAUCUCACUGGUUAGCAGACAAUAAAGAAUAUGACUUUAGUAAUUAAAUAGGUACUGUAGCAUACCUUUAAAUAUUAGGUGACGACUCUCUUUCAUUAACAACAGAGAAACCACAAGUUGAAUCUUGUUUUGACUCGUGCAAAAUAGGGUGCAACAACAUGGCGACUCAGCUGGAAAUUCACACUUAGGUUCUGACCUUAGCACACUUAGACUAAAUUUGGCACUUAGAUUUAUUUGUACGUUGCUUUAACUGUAUUUAAUUUGCAAUUACAUGCUUUCCUGCCCUACUUACUCCUUAUGCAUGCUUAUUAUAAUGCCUGUUAUUGUUACACCCUUAUCUGUUACCGCUUUAUAUAUAUAUAUUGUCAUCACACUUUUUCCUAUCGAGUCUUGGCAGGACAUUAUCACACACGAUGGCACGUGAUGGUUGUCUUUUACAGCUCUCCGAACCUUCUUUUCAAAACUCUUUAGUUUCAGAGAAUUACUUUGUCAGGUCAACUGACAUAACUUCUCGUAGUUUUCAGUCGAAUUCAAAGGUAGGAAACACUCUACUCUAGCAAACAUAGGUCAUAUUGCAUAAACCUUAUAUGAGUCGGUCCUUGGCAUCGACACACAAUUAAGAAAGCCACACUAAUGUCAAUGGGUCAUGCACCUAACGACAUGACUUCUAUGGAAAGAGGAACAAACUUGAUGAGAUACCUAAAGAUCCGAAGCAAACACUUACCAAAACCUUUCUUUACCCACUUCAGAAAUAGAAAUCAACCAAAACAUCCCCGAGAUCAAUAUGGUGAUGGGAGCACCACACAAGCUAAAGCAAUGGUUGAAGAAUAUCCAUCGAGAGCACGAGAUGAGAUUCAGACACGCCUGGGGGCACUGUCCACUUAGUUAAACAUCCGAGCAGACAUGGUGCUUACUCGCCUACUGAUAAAGUUCUGGGAUCAGGCAAAGGUAGUGUUUAAGUUUGCUGAUUGUGAGUUAGUACCAACAUUGGAAGAAGUUAGCAGUUUCACAGAUUUACAGGAAGGAGACCACUACUACCAGUCACCAUGCCCGGUUACAGGUUCCUAGAUGCUUUGGGUCUAGCAAACAGUUGAAGUUUGAGAAAUAUCGAGACGAAUUGGUGAGCCUAAAUCAGUUGUUUGAUAGGUUUGGACAUCACGAAAGCUAUGAAUGGUACUCGGGAGAAUUUCAGUGUGAUCAAGCAACGUGGGAGAGUCUUAGGCCCAUCACUUUCUUACUGAUACUAAUGUGAUUAUUGAUUUUCCCAUAGAAAGGAGGUCGGAUCAACAUCAACUUGUUACCCGUGGUUCUGGUUAUAUUCCGUGGCAAUCUCCAAGCUACUCUGGUACUGAUGGUGUUAGCUGAGAUUCUAAGGGCUUUGCCUGAAUGUGCACGAGGGUAUGAUUUCUUUAAGGGCUGUAAUUGGCUUUUUCAGAUCUGGGCCACAGAACAUUUCUUCCAGUGAGAGGCCACAAUUGACUACUCUGUGGGCAUUAGCAACAUGAUCCGCAACUACAACGAGAGGAUGAGACAUCGGAUCUCCCCAUAUGGACAAGAAGAGUGCAGAGAAGUGCUGACUAAUCUAAGUGGAGAAUAGGUCAAUUGGAAGUUGUCAUGGUUAGGACGGAGGGAAAUCCUAUGGACUCCUCAGAAAUACUUCAUUGAGCUGAUAGGACUUGAGAGCAUACAACCAUACUCACCUCUACGGGUUCUCAGACAGUUCGGGUUAAUUGAGGAUGUGCCUUUAUGGACGAGGACACCACUAUAUGAGGAUGAAUACAAUAGACAUAUUCCAAUACCAAGGAUAAGGAGGCUCCAAGAAGAGUGGAAUGAUCUAGUCAUAAUGUCGAUGGGUCAAAACACGUGGUGCACUUCAGAGUAUUAUGUCUGUAUCAACAAGGAAGACGAGCUAGCCCGACCAAGAAAAGAGGGUAGAGCCUGGCUGGAGGACGCAGUGGCUGCUUUUGUAAAUCUACCAUUAGAUUCUGCCACAAUACCUUAUGACCACCUCGAUGCACCGUUAAGUGGUCCCAGGAUCCAUUGAUCACAUGUUGCCACCUGCUAAAAUGAUGACCAAGUAGUGGAGUGCAUCCAGAUAGAAUUUGAGAAAAAGCCGGAGGAAUAUCCAGGAGAAGAAUCUGAGUUCAACGAUGACGGAGAGGAAUUUGAACAAGAUCUGGAGGAAGAGCCAGAGGAGGAAGAGGAGAUAGGGAAUGAUUCUGUGGAUGGUUACUAGAAGUUGGUUGAUUUUUUCUUCUUUCCUACUUUGUAUCUUUAUCCCAGUUUUAUUAUUUUCCCCUAAGGGCAUGUUGUUCAAGACUAUGCAGUUCUAUGAAUGUAAGAAAAAGUGAUGUAACCUCUAUUCCCACCCAUCUCAAUCCAGACAUUAUCAAUGUAACAAAACUUGCUUCAGAUCUAAAUGUGUCAAGUCUAACUUUUUGUCAAACGUUCGCGAUUUAGGCCUACCUCUGGUAAUGAGAAGUCCCACGAAUUUGAGAAAAAUGCGCUUGCCUAAAUACGUGAAUUAACUGCUCUGUGUGAUAUUCUGCUUGUAUAAAUGUAGAAACUAACUUCUGUUUCUUUUUCUUUUUUUUCGUUUCUUACUUUGUUGUUACUCCCCAAAAGAAAAUUUGGUUUGUAUUGACCCGAAACUGACGGAACUACCGUACAACUUAAGAUCAAAGGGGAAGAGUAUUGCUAUAGAAAACCCGACCGAACAUGCUCUAGUCAUAGACGAUAGCUCGGGCGAUCGAGAGAGAAGGAUGAUACAAGGAAUGAUGAACAUGCAUGAUAGCCCAAGGGAUAGUCUUUAAGGGAGGAAGUGCAACAUAUCAGGGAACUAGCACAUCUAGCCAUGACAACAUUUCCGCAACAACCUCGUUUCCCCUCUCUGGAUUCAAUUCCUUACCAUUUUCCUUCCAUAUCACAUCAAGCCAACAACACCCCGACUUCAGUUCCCAACACUCAAAUCAUACCUCCAGUAAUCCCUGCAAACCCACCAAAUCCUCCUAUCUAAACUCCCUAUGUACCACUGUACGUUCAAAUGCCACAAAACCCACCCGUUACCACCAACACAAUUUACACCCCUCCUCGUGAUGAAGUCACUUUUACCAUUCACCAAAAUCAGCACAUACCCGUGGCACAUACCGCUACCCAUGAGCGAUAUGUUCCUCUUGUAUAUGCCGUUUCUGAACCUACUUUUAUAGCACCUGUCAGUGUCAGUGUGCCUUAUGUGAUUGACUAAUAUGCCGAGAUGGAAAGGGAAGCUAGGCAUAAGGAAGAGGAGUCGGUGUCUGAGCAGUUACAAAUCUUGAGAAAACAAAUGAAGAACCUCGAAGUCGCUCAGGGAAGUGAAAGUUUGGAAUACAAGAAUCUAUGUAUCCAUAUGGAUGUGCAAGCCAGUAGGUUAUAAGCCUUCAAAGUUCGAUAUCUUCGACGGGACGGGUGAUUCCUACGUACAUUUGAGGGCAGAUUGUUACAAGUUAUUUGGAGUGGGAAGAAAUGAGAAGCUGAGGAUAAUGUUUUUCAUAAGAAGCCCGACUGGAGAAGAACUUGCCUGGUAUACUCGACAAGAUCCACAAAACUGGAGAACAUGGCAUAAUAUGGCGAAAGAUUUCAUGAAUUGCUUCUGAUUCAACACAGAGAUCACUCCCAAUAGGAUCGUACUGGUAAACCUGUAAAAGAAGCCGUCUGAGUCAUUCCAAGAAUAUGCAUGUCGAUGCAGGUAAGAAGUCGCCAGGGCACAACCUCCGUUGGACGACAGUGACUUGACCAAGUAUUUCAUCAGGGCCCAAGAAGGGAUAUACUUUGAAAAAAUGAUGGGUAUGAUGGGACAGAAAUUCCCCGAACUAGUCAAGAUGGGAGAUUUCAUAGAAGAAGGUAUAAGAUCCGGCAAAGUACAAUCCAUGGUUGUACUGCAAGCAGCUAGAAAGGCAAUCCAAUCAGGGUCAAUCGGUAGCGGAAAGAAGAAAAAUGAAGAAGUCUCAACAGUCAUCCCUUACUAUCAACUCAGCCCACACUUCUUAUUCCCUAAACAACCAUUUACCACAACCUGCCUACGCUCCAGUCUACAACGCACAACCAUAUUACAACCCCCAACCUCAAUAUAACCCUUCUCGAGCCCAUAACAAUCCGAAUCCACAACGACAAUAUGCUCAUGUCCAAACCACCACUCAUUAAAACCAACCCACUUAUCCACCACGGUCAUUCAAAUUUUGAAGAGAGGGGUUCCAGAAAUUAUACCCUAAUUGCUGAGCCUCUAGCUCAAUUGUUUGAAAGAUUGAGGAGAGCAGGAUUGAUAAAUCUAGUGGAAGGAAGGGUUCCUGGAUAUCCCUCAAAGGAUUUUGAUGCAACCAAAAGGUGCGUGUACCAUUCAAAAGUGCUUGGGCAUGAUACUGAAGAUUGUUUUAAGUUGAAAAAUAAAAUUGAGACAUUGACCAAAAGCAGAGCCGUGCAGUGCACUCCGGCUCCAGCCAAUGUGAAUUGCAAUCCGCUAUCGAAUCACCGGAAUUAGGGGGUCAACAUGAUCACCUUAGAUGAUGAAUAUGAUUUGAAAGCAACUACUAUCACAGUAGGAAAUGCAGAGGCCGUGGGGAUCCCACCUCAAAGGACUCUGAUGAUCAUAGUACAAGUGAGACCCACAGUGACGGUUCAGACUUAUCAGUGAUAACCUGCCAUUGCUACAUAGGACGGAGAGGGUCAGGAAUACAAAACUAUCUGACCUCUUAGCAAAAAGGUAAAGCCAAGAUGGCGGAUUCUGCAGCAGCCCACGGUAUGACUAGGUCAGGGAUAUGACACGCUCCUGAAGAUGCAAAUCGAGGGAAUUUGGGAAGAGAGCAGAUUCAAAGAAGAAAUAUAACAGACCCCGAGGUCGCGGAAUUCUGAGAGAGAAUGGCGACCAAAGAAUACUCCGUGGAGGAGCAGCUGAAGAAAUCUCCGAUCCAAAUAUCAAUCAUGGACUUGCUGAUGAGCUCCGACAGUCAUAAGGAUGCCCUGAUGAGAGUACUAAGUGGGGUAAGUAUGCCAAGCAACAACACCAGUGUGGCACUGGAUGCAACUAUUGGGAAAAUAGUCAAAGCAAAUAUGAUCACUUUUCGAAGAGACGGGCUUCCUAUCGAAGGAGUGACACAACAAAGCUCUACUUAUCACUGUCAAAUGUGGGGACAAGGUGGUGUCCCGAGUGCUGGUUAAUUGAGGGUCAGGAGUUAAUAUACUCCUUCUCUCUACUCUGCGAGAGUUGGGAAUCCACCCGAGGUAAGUCAAAUAAAUCCAUGUGAGGGUAAUGGCUUUUGAUUGCUCGUAGAAGGAUGUCAUUGAAGAAAUUUGUUUUACUUUGCAGAUCGGACCAGUUGAAUUUCCCAUACUAUUUCAAGUAAUGGAUAUUUCCUCUUCAUACAACUUACUACUCGGAAGACCCUGGAUACACAUGGUAGGGCCUGUCCCAUCAACCAUACACUAAUGCAUGAAAUUUAAGUGGGUUGUCAAGAGAUUGUGGUACAUGAUGAAUGGGGACAAUCAGCUUAUUUGGAGCAUGCAGUCCCGUUCAUUGAAGAGCUAGGCGGAGUUGCUUUCCAACAACAACAACAACCACCCAGUAUAAUCCAACAAGUGGGGUCUGGGGAGGGUAAGAUGUACACAGCCUUACCCCUACUCUGGAAGGGCAGAGAUUGUUUCUGUUAGACCCUCGGCUAACGAAGGUGAAAGAAGCCUUGAUAGCAAGUAAUAGCAAGACAAAUAAUUAGAAAACUAAAUCGAAGAUAGCAGCAUAUAAUAUGAAAGAGGUACCGAUAACAAGUAAUAGCAAGACAAUAUAUUUAGAAAACUAAGUCCAAGGCAACAAAUGAGAAUAUGAACGAAGUACUUCUAGUAAACUACGCAAUUACCGAUGGCAAGUAAUAAUGGAACAAGACAUGCGAAUAUAGCAAACUACGAAAAAGGAUACCGCACUAGCACUAAUACUAUCGAACUAAAGAAGACAAAGGGGAACGCACGACUACCUACUAACAUUCUACCCUAAUCUUUAACCUCCACACCAUUCUAUCUAGGGUCAUGUCUUCGGUUAUCUCAAGUUGCACCAUGUUGUGCCUGAUCACCUCUCCACAAGACUUCUUUGGCCUACCUCUACCCCUCCUCUCACCUCCCAAGGCCAACCUCUCACAUAUCCUGACUGGGGCAUCUGUGCUUCUCCUCAUAACAUGAACGAACUAUCUCAACCUCGCCUCACGCAUCUUUGCCUCCACAUGGGCCACUCCCACCUUGUCCCGAAUAACUUCAUUCCUAAUUCUAUCCAACCUAGUAUGCCUACACAUCCAUCUCAACAUCCUCAUUUUUGCUACUUUCACCUGCUGGACAUUGGAGUUUUUAACUGGCCAACACUCUGUCCCAUUAAACAUAGUCGAUCUAACCACUACCUUGUAUAACUUAACCUUAAGUCUCAAUGGCACAUUCUUAUCACACAAGACACCGGAAGCGAGUCUCGACUUCAUCCACCCUGCUCUGAUACGGUGUGUGACAUCAUCAUCUAGCUCUCUAUCCUUCUGAAUUAUAGACCCCAGAUACUUGAAACUCUCUCUCCUGGGAAUGACUUGUGUAUCGAGCCUCACAUCCCCAUCCGCCUCCUGGGUAAUACCGCUGAACUUGCACUCCAAGUAUUCUGUCUUAGUUCUGCUCAACUUGAAACCCUUAGACUCCAGAGUAUGUUUCCAGACCCCCAGCCUCUCGUUAACGCCACCUCAUGUCUCAUCAAUCAGGACUAUGUCAUCCGCAAAAAACAAGCACCAAGGCACCUCCCCUUGAAUGUGUCGCGUCAAUGAAGCCAUCGCCAGGGAAAACAAAAACGGGUGGAGUGCUGAUCCCUGGUGCAACCCCAUCUCAACCGAAAAGUAAUCAGAGUCUCCUCCUGCUAUCCUAACCCGUGUCUUAGCUCCACAAUACAUGUCCUGAAUCACUCUAAUAUACGCUACAGGCACUCCUCUAGCCUCCAAACAUCUCCAUAGAACCUCUCUCGGGACAUUGUCAUAUACUUUCUCCAGGUCAAUGAACACCAUAUGCAAAUCCUUCUUCACCGCCCUAUACUACUCCACCAAUCUCCUCACAAUGUGAAUGGCCUCCGUAGUCGACCAUCCGGACAUGAAACCAAACUGGUACUCGAAAAUGGACACACUCCUCCUCAACCUCCAUUAUAUCACCCUCUCCCACACUUUCAUCGUGUGGCUUAACAACUUGAUACCCCUAUAGUUGUUGCAGUUUUGGACAUCCCCCUUUUUCUUCUACAAUGGGAUCAUCGUACUCUUCCUCCACUCUUCGGGCAUCUUCUUCGUCCAAAACAUGACAUUAAACAACCUAGCAAGACAUUCCAAGCCCUCCUUACCCACACUCUUCUAGAAUUUCACCGGGAUCUCGUCCAGCCCAGUCGCUCUACCUCUUCUCAUCCUGCGCAUAGCCUCUACAACCUCCCCCACUCGUAUACGUCUACAGUACCCAACAUCUCGUUGCCGCUCCGAGUACUCUAACUCCCCCAGCACAAUGCUCUUAUCUCCCUCUUCAUUCAAGCAUUUAUGGAAGUAAGACUACUAUCUCUGCCUAAUUUGUGCCCCCACCACUAAAACUCUACCCUCCUUGUCUUUUUUGCACCUCACUUGGUCCAGAUCCCGGGCCUUUCGCUCCCUCAACUUCGCCAGCCUGUGAAACUUCUUGUCCCUUCCUUUAUCCCUAAUUUCUUCGUAUAAACGACUAAACACCGUGGUCUUAGCCGCAGUAACCGCCCCCUCCCUGUUAGCACUCUUCUGCCCCUCGUCUAUACUUUCUACUAGAUUCAAAUAUGCCGCUUUCUUGGCUUUCACUUUUCCUUGAACCUCUUCGUUCCACCACCAGCAUUACACCCCAUAUUUUCGUACGUAAAAGUAUUCCAUAAAAAAAUAAUGAAAGCUCGGAAAUGAGAUGUUACAUCCCGCAUUUUUGUACGAUAAAGUUUCGUCGUAAGUUAAUCGACGUAAGCUCGGGAAUGAGAUUAUUUUGGGAUUAUAAGUAUUAUGCUAUUUCAAACAAGGGAUAAUUCGUGAAGGUGAGAGGGUAAGCAAAUCGAAGAAAAUAAGUUUCGUCAAAGUUUGACAUUUUGGGGUAAAAUACGGCCCGAGCUAAAAUACCCGGUAUUUAUGGACUAGUACCAUACAAGGUAUCAGAUGGCUAUAUUAGUAAGGUGUAUGAAGUGUGUUAAAAGUGAUUAUUACUUUAUGUAAUUUGAGAUAAUUCUUAAUUAUGUGGGAAAUUAGUUAAUUAUGGAUUUUAGUAAGAGAUUAACUAAGUGAUUAAAUUAUUUGGAUAAGCUCCAAUGUGGUAGCAAAUUAAGUGUGAAUUAAAGCCCAAUAUGGUGACUCUUACACCAUGUAGCAAGGUGGCACAAUUAAAGAGAUUUGUGGCCAAGUCAUCAUCAAAGUGGGGCCCACAACAUAUAGCUUUAAAAGAUCUCUUACCUUAUUCAAAGAGUGAUGCUAAGACUUGUUAGAGAUUUCCUUACGGAUGGAGUUCAAGCUAACAAUUUUAAGAAGGUUUCUUACCUUAUUAAGAUAGGAUGCUAGUAACAGAUGAAUCGCUUUGCCUAAAAGCCAUUUCUUGGUUCAUCUUUUUGUGAGAAAUUAAGCUUCUAUGUGAAUAGAUCUCUAAAAGUACACUAUAUUGAGUGUACAAACAUGGAAAGGAAAAAGAAGAGCGAAUCUGGAUUGGUCGAGAUGCAAUUCUAAGAGAGCACGGUACAAUCUUUCUCAAAAAUAUCAUACGGAUUUUUUCUUACUUCGAUCCGCCGUUACGUGUUUUGUCGCAAUUGGCAUGUAUAAGGCUAAGCCCUUCCUUCAUUUUGGCAUGAUCUCGUAAUUACAUGUGUUUGAUAACGAGGCAUAACGAGAAGUUCAUACUCUCGAAUUUAUAUACAUUAUCCUACUCUCAUAAAUUAUAGUAUUCUCCUUAUCGGGACUUCAUAUUUAAUUGAGUAUUGUCUUCUUCCAGUCAAGAGAGAAGAGAGCCUAUAUAUACUGUAUUACAGUAUUUUCAUUACCAUCGAGCUAUAAUCGAUGGGUAGGCCCCUAUUAGACAACCUCUGAUCAGAUGGUAAGUUAUAUACCGAGCCUACUGUGGCUGUACACGUAUGAGCGAGCCCAGAAUGGCCGAGUAUAUAAAGUCUAGUAUGGCCGAGCGCCUAUGAGCGAGCCUACUACGGCAAAACAGUUAUAUAUACCGAGCCUUAUAAGGCCGGACAACUAUUUUACUUACUAUAUUGAAAGAGUUGAGUCAGUAUCAGCAAGUAAGCAUAUCUUCAGAUUAUCUUUGAUUUCCAGUUACGUUCAGUUAUUAUAUUAUCAGUUCAGUUUCAGCUUUCAGUUGUUCUGUUGCCUUACAUACUCGGUACAUUAUUCGUACUGACGUCCUUUUGUUGGCGACGCUGCAUUCAUGCCUGCAGGUAUUGACAAUCAGUUUGACGAGCCCUCAUAGUAGACAAGGUUAGCAUUCAGCGAAGGAUCGGUAAGACUCCACCUCAUUCGGAGUGCAACCGAGUCUAUGAGUCAUCGUGUCAGAAUUUUGCUAUAGACUUAUGGGUAGGCCGGUACCCUGUCCCAUUUGAUGUCAAAUACUCUUAGAGGCUUUGUAGAAAGAGGUUUAUUUUGUACAGUAUUUUAGAGGCCUUGACGACCCAUAUAUAUUCAUGUUUUAAGAAAGAUGGUUCAUUGAUAUAGUGCUUUCCCACUUAUAGUUAUACAUUACAAGUUGUGGCCAUGAGUCUAUAAUUUGAUAUUUGUUGUUCAUGUACGAGUAUUCUUUUUUAUGAUUUCUAUGUGAUAUGGAACUAGGUCGAUAGCACAUGAGUCGCUCGUGCGAAUCUGGGUUAUGAUAGCAUGUGAGUUUUCUGUGCGGUUGUUAUAUGUGGCACGUGAGUUGUCCGUGGGUUUGUUAUAUGUGGCACGUGAGUUGUCGGUGUGGUUGUUAUAUGUGGCACGUGAGUUGUAUGUGCGGUUGUGUAUCUCUUGAUAGUGUACAUGCGGUAUGAUGAAAAACGAUCAAUGUUUGGUUUUGUUAUUGCAUUUCUUCUCUAGUUGAAAAUUUCCUUGGAUGUAUACAUGUUUUAUUCGCAUACCUUCUCUAUAUGAUAGAUCAGGAAUGUAUACAUGCCUUUUUGUGCAUAUAUUCUCUAUAUACUAGAUUGUUAGUCGAUACAGAGCUUGGCACUUUAUAUCAUGUGUACCGAGGUGACUUUAUCUGUAUUUUAUAAUUUGAUGAUAUUAUUGUUGUCCACUUGUGUGGUUUAUGAAGUGAGCAAAUUAUUAGGGAGUAUCAUUAAUAAUUCAUGCCUUUAUUACCUCGCCGAUGUUAGAUAUGAUACUUGCUGAGUACAUGAGGUCAGUUGUACUCAUACUACACUCUACAGUUAAUUGUGCAGAUCCAUGUGUUGCACCAAGCCGCGAGUCAUUGUGAUUGUGGCUACGAGUUGCCGAGAGACAAGGUAGAGAUACAUUUUGACCGCAGUCUUUGGCGUCUCUUUUCAUUACAGUGCUAUUGUUUUCAUUCAGACAGUACUUUCAUUUGGUAUUCCAGAGUUGUAUUUUUAUUUUAGAGCUCAUGACUCUAUAACUAAUUCUGGGGGAUGUAUGUAUUGAUGCAGUUAUUUAUGUCAAUGGGCUUUGGAUUUAUAUUUUCUUUCCCCGUUAAUUCUGUUACUAUGUUCAGUUUUGUUAUGUUUGGC